rnacentral:rRNA from 1 species
UACAGAGGUCCCAAGCGUUGUUCGGAUUCACUGGGCGUAAAGCGUGCGCAGGCGGUUCGUUAUGUCCGUUGUGAAAGCCCCGGGCUCAACCUGGGAAUGGCAAUGGAAACUGGCGGGCUAGAGUGUGGCAGAGGGGGGUGGAAUUCCGCGUGUAGCAGUGAAAUGCGUAGAGAUGCGGAGGAACACCGAUGGCGAAGGCAGCCCCCUGGGCUAGCACUGACGCUCAGGCACGAAAGCGUGGGGAGCAAACAGG